rnacentral:rRNA from 1 species
UACGUAGGGGGCUAGCGUUGUCCGGAUUUAUUGGGCGUAAAGAGCGUGUAGGCGGCCAGGUAGGUCUGCUGUGAAAACUCGAGGCUCAACCUCGAGACGUCGGCGGAAACCAUCUGGCUAGAGUCCGGAAGAGGAGAGUGGAAUUCCUGGUGUAGCGGUGAAAUGCGCAGAUAUCAGGAGGAACACCCGUGGCGAAGGCGGCUUUCUAGGAUAUACCUGACACUGAGAAGCGACAGCUAGGGGAGCAAACAGG